CAGUUUUAGAGCUUUGUCGUGUCUGGUAGUCGCGUUUUCCUUUUAGGAGGAUAGCUAGUUUUAACCGGCGACAAGUGCUUCUUUUGCUC